UACGUAUGGAGCAAGCGUUAUCCGGAUUUACUGGGUGUAAAGGGUGCGUAGGCGGCACAGCAAGUCAGAUGUGAAAGACCGGGGCUCAACCCCGGGGCUGCAUUUGAAACUGCCGAGCUUGAGUCCGGGAGAGGCAGGCGGAAUUCCUAGUGUAGCGGUGAAAUGCGUAGAUAUUAGGAGGAACACCAGAGGCGAAGGCGAUUAACUGGACUGUAACUGACGCUGAGGCACGAAAGUGUGGGGAGCAAACAGG
rnacentral:rRNA from 1 species